rnacentral:rRNA from 1 species
UAGGAAUCUACCCUAAAGCGGGGGAUAACCCGAGGAAACUCGGGCUAAUACCGCAUAAUAUCUGAGGAUUAAAGCUAGGUUUACCUGGCACUUUAGGAGGAGCCUGCGUCUGAUUAGCUAGUUGGUAGGGUAAAGGCCUACCAAGGCGACGAUCAGUAGGUGGUCUGAGAGGAUGAUCNCCACACUGGGACUGAGACACGGCCCAGACUCCUACGGGAGGCAG